rnacentral:rRNA from 1 species
CGUCUAUAUACGUAUAGCAUAUCAAUAAGCGGAGGAAAAGAAACUAACUAGGAUUCCCUCAGUAACGGCGAGUGAAGCGGGAAGAGCUCAAAUUUGAAAUCUUCAAGGUUUUACCUUGACGAAUUGUAGUUUAAAGAAGUGUUUUCUGUUGGAAUUUUGGUAAAAGUUCUUUGGAAAAAGACAUCAAAGAGGGUGAGAAUCCCGUAUUUGACCAUUAUUUCCAGCUUUGUGAUACACUUUCAAAGAGUCGGAUUGUUUGGGAAUGCAGUCCAAAAUGGGUGGUAAAUUUCAUCUAAAGCUAAAUAUUGGCGAGAGACCGAUAGCGAACAAGUACCGUGAGGGAAAGAUGAAAAGAACUUUGAAAAGAGAGUUAAACAGUACGUGAAAUUGUCAAAAGGGAAGCGUUUGACACCAGUGUUGUUUUCUCGAAAAUCAAUUAAAAAUGGUGGGAUGUUGUGUUGUUAUUGACUUUAUCAGCUUUCUGCACUUUUUUUCCUAUCUUUUUUAAUGCACUUUUCGUUUAACAAGUCAACAUCAAUUUCUUCUGUUGUAAAAGAGUCAUUGGAAGGUGGCUUUCUUUUCGGAGAAAGUGUUUAUAGCCUUUGGCUUCUGCAAUCGGAGAGAUUGAGGUCUGCAGCGUAGAUCCUUCGGGGUUAGAUACAUUUGUGCUAAGUUAUAGUUUUUCAUAGACAACAUGUUGACUAUGAUUAAUCAUGUAGCUUACUCGCUUAUGCUAUUUUACCUACGCUUAGGAUGUUGAUAUGCAUGACUGAUAU